rnacentral:rRNA from 1 species
UACAGAGGUCUCAAGCGUUGUUCGGAUUCAUUGGGCGUAAAGGGUGCGUAGGCGGCGCGGUAAGUCGGGUGUGAAAUCUCGGAGCUUAACUCCGAAACUGCAUUCGAUACUGCCGUGCUUGAGGACUGGAGAGGAGACUGGAAUUUACGGUGUAGCGGUGAAAUGCGUAGAUAUCGUAAGGAAGACCAGUGGCGAAGGCGGGGUCUCUGGGCAGUAACUGACGCUGAGGAGCGAAAGCGUGGGGAGCGAACAGG